rfam:Ricinus communis cultivar Hale ctg_1100012360313, whole genome shotgun sequence.
UAUCCAUGGUGUGGGCAUUGUAAUAAAAAUGAUUUGAAGGGAUCUCAUGCUUCAUAAAAGGAUUUAGUAUCCCUUUUGAUUAAAGUUAGAGAUUUUAGCCCUUAAUUU